ACUUUAAGCGAGGAGGAGGCUACUGAGACUAAUACUCUUGGAUAGUGGACGUUACUCGCAGAAUAAGCACCGGCUAACUCUGUGCCAGCAGCCGCGGUAAUACAGAGGGUGCGAGCGUUAAUCGGAUUUACUGGGCGUAAAGCGUGCGUAGGCGGCUUUUUAAGUCGGAUGUGAAAUCCCCGAGCUUAACUUGGGAAUUGCAUUCGAUACUGGGAAGCUAGAGUAUGGGAGAGGAUGGUAGAAUUCCAGGUGUAGCGGUGAAAUGCGUAGAGAUCUGGAGGAAUACCGAUGGCGAAGGCAGCCAUCUGGCCUAAUACUGACGCUGAGGUACGAAAGCAUGGGGAGCAAACAGGAUUAGAUACCCUGGUAGUCCAUGCCGUAAACGAUGUCUACUAGCCGUUGGGGCCUUUGAGGCUUUAGUGGCGC
rnacentral:rRNA from 1 species